CACUAGGUUCCCGUACGAUCACUGAAGUUAAGCAAUGUCAAGACUGGUUAGUACCUAGAUGGGUGAUUGCUUGGGACUACCAGGUUCUGUAGG